rnacentral:rRNA from 1 species
GGGGAAUUUUGGACAAUGGGCGCAAGCCUGAUCCAGUCAUGCCGCGUGAGUGAAGAAGGCCUUCGGGUUGUAAAGCUCUUUCGCAAGGGAAGAAAACGUGUGGGCUAAUAUCCUGCGCGGAUGACGGUACCUUGACAAGAAGCACCGGCUAACUACGUGCCAGCAGCCGCGGUAAUACGUAGGGUGCGAGCGUUAAUCGGAAUUACUGGGCGUAAAGAGCACGUAGGCGGCCUUGCAAGUCAGAUGUGAAAUCCAACGGCUUAACCGUUGAACUGCAUUUGAAACUGCAAGGCUAGAGUAUGGGAGAGGUAGGUGGAAUUCUCGGUGUAGGGGUAAAAUCCGUAGAGAUCGAGAGGAAUACUCAUUGCGAAGGCGACCUGCUGGAACAUUACUGACGCUGAGGUGCGAAAGCGUGGGGAGCAAACA